GGGACGUCCGAGAGGUGAGAAGCUGACGUCGAGGUGACGCGCCAACUUAAUCACAUCUUACGUCACUCGUGGUUCUUUUGGCUCGCCCGCUGCGAUUGGCCAGGGGCAAAAGUGCAUAGCUUUUCCUGUUAUCCCAUUCCUUGAAGCAGCUUUUCAGAUGUCAGUAACCUGACCAAGACAAUUGAUGUGAGUUGAAGAAUGAAGUAUGUGUCGCUGAAGUCGGGAGGACUGAGGCCACGGUGACAGCAGGCUCUUUUCUCAAUGUAUGGACAAUCAACACCUCAGCAGGGUGACUGCCAAGUAGAAGAGGAACAUUUUGUAAUGCAUCCUGAAAGUCUGUGGUCAGACUUUCAGCAGAUUCAAGUAAGCAAAGCUAAGACAAAGAGAAAGUGUGUGGUUCACAUUCUCUCAGCCUUUGAAACCCAAGAUUCCUGCCCAGAUCCUACCAUUCUGAUUGGACUGCACCACUGGAUAGAGAUACUAGUGUAGUGAAUCCAUUAGGGAUUUAUUCACUCCAGAAAGGUUUUAUAUUUGAAAAUGGGAGUAUAGUGUAUAGCGUUUUUUACUAUAUCCACUUUCCCUCAUUUCAGAACAGUUAGGAAACGUUACUCAAUACUUGGUCUCUGUCAGUCUUAUGUUGUGGAUGUAUUGGCCCUCCACCAUGCUUCUUACCCCCAACAAGCAGAGGCAAACAGAUUCUGAAUUCUCCUGCUUGUCUUGGGCAUCCCCAUGCUGGCUCACAGCCUGCCCUGGCCUUGUUAUGCAGUGGGCUGAUGGGGUUACCAGGAUGCCCAUGGGUGCUUCCUGUGGCUCUGACAGGGCCCUGGCAGAUUGAGCUGAUUACUCACAGCCAACUGCUUAUUUUCAGGAAUUUAUUCCAUUUUCCUAUUUUGCCAACAUCAUCUAAUUGAGGACCAGAUGCUUUUAGUCAGCAUCUUCUGCAACUGAUGGAGCUCCACCAUCUUCCUUUACUCUAGGAGUCUAAUGCCCAGGCUUGAAUAAAUAGGUUUUCCCUAUUCAUUCUGAAGGAAGUAUAUGACUUUUAAAGGAGCAGGUGAACAUAAGGGUACUUUUCAACACAGAAUGGAACUGUGCUCUGGAGACAAUGGGGGAAGAAAGUGUGAGUAUAUAGUUUAAGGACUGUAAAUGGAAGCACACUUCUCUGGAGGCAGUUUAGUUCGUCUAUCAAGAUUUUAAAAUGUGCAUACUUUUGACCAAGGAAUUUUGCUUCUAACCAUGUAUGUACAACGUAUACUAGUAUAUGUAUUCAAAGAGGAAUGUAUAAGGAUAUUUAUACAGCAUGGUUUAUAAUAGCAAAAGACUGGAAGUAAACGAAAUUCUAUUUAGUAGGUAACUACUUAAAUAAGUUAUCAGACAUUCAUACAGUAGAAUGAGGCAGAUCUAUAUCUACCAAUAUGGAAGAUUCCCAAGAUUUACAAGCUAUCUAAGGAGGGACACACAGUGCUGCCAUUUAUGGGAAAAAAGGGCUGCCUGUGUACAUGUGGAUGUUUGUGUCUGUGCAACCUGUCUUGACAUACUGUUAUCAGCAGUUGCUUAUGCUGAAGGGAGCUAUGGAAGUGAGAAGGGGAGGUGGAAAGAGUCUUACUUUUCUCUGUAUGUCCUUUUGUAAAACUUUAAAUGUUCUCCUUUUGCCUACAAUGCCUAU